rnacentral:rRNA from 1 species
UACGUAGGGGGCAAGCGUUAUCCGGAAUUACUGGGUGUAAAGGGGGCGUAGGCGGCAUGGUAAGUAAGGUGUGAAAGCCUUGGGCUUAACCCGAGGAUUGCACUUUAAACUAUCAAGCUAGAGUACAGGAGAGGUAAGUGGAAUUCCUAGUGUAGCGGUGAAAUGCGUAGAUAUUAGGAAGAACACCAGUGGCGAAGGCGACUUACUGGACUGAAACUGACGCUGAGGCUCGGAAGCGUGGGGAGCAAACAGGAUUAGAUACCCUGGUAGUCCCUGAGCGGG